rnacentral:rRNA from 1 species
AUUGAACGCUAGCGGGAUGCCUUACACAUGCAAGUCGAACGGAGUGGCGAACGGGUGAGUAAUGUAUCGGAACGUGCCCAGUAGCGGGGGAUAACUACGCGAAAGCGAAGCUAAUACCGCAUACUAUUGGAGCGGCGGAGUUCGGAGUAGCGAGGUGGUGGGGUAACGGCUCACCAAGGCGACGAUCCGGAGCUGGUUUGAGAGGACGAACAGCCACACUGGGACUGAGACACGGCCCAGACUCCUACGGGAGGCAGCAGUGGGGAAUUUUGGACAAUGGGGGAAACCCUGAUCCAGCCAUGCCGCGUGUGCGAUGAAGGCCUUCGGGUUGUAAAGCACUGUUGGCAGGGAAGCGGUACCUGCAGAGUAAGCACCGGCUAACUACGUGCCAGCAGCCGCGGUAAUUC